rnacentral:rRNA from 1 species
UACGUAGGAGGCGAGCGUUGUCCGGAGUUACUGGGCGUAAAGGGUGCGCAGGCGGCCGCGCGCGUGGGUGGUGAAAUCUCCCGGCUCAACUGGGAGGGGGCCAUCCAGACGGCGUGGCUUGAGGCUCGGAGGGGGGCGUGGAAUUCCGGGUGGAGCGGUGAAAUGCGUAGAGAUCGGGAGGAACACCUGUGGCGAAGGCGGCCCCCUGGGCCGGCCCUGACACUGAGACGCGAAGGCGUGGGGAGCGAACGGG